CGGACGGGUGAGUAACGCGUGGAUAACCUGCCGUAUACCGGGGGAGUAACACUUAGAAAUAGGUGCUAAUACCGCAUAAGCGCACAGCUUCGCAUGAAGCAGUGUGAAAAACUCCGGUGGUAUACGAUGGAUCCGCGUCUGAUUAGCUGGUUGGCGGGGUAACAGCCCACCAAGGCGACGAUCAGUAGCCGGCCUGAGAGGGUGAACGGCCACAUUGGGACUGAGACACGGCCCAAACUCCUACGGAAGGCAGCAG
rnacentral:rRNA from 1 species